GAUGAACGCUAGCGGCAGGCUUAAUACAUGCAAGUCGAGGGGCAGCGCAGUGUAGCAAUACAUGGGCGGCGACCGGCAAACGGGUGCGUAACACGUACGCAACCUACCUUACAUUGGGGGAUAGCCUUUCGAAAGGGAGAUUAAUACCGCAUAAGACAGUAGCUGGGCAUCCAGCAGCUGUUAAAGAUUUAUCGAUGUAAGCUGGGCAUGCGUCCAAUUAGCUAGUUGGUGAGGUAAUGGCUCACCAAGGCAAUGAUUGGUAGGGGAACUGAGAGGUCAAUCCCCCACACUGGCACUGAGAUACGGGCCAGACUCCUACGGGAGGCAGCAGUAGGGAAUAUUGGGCAAUGGACGCAAGUCUGACCCAGCCAUGCCGCGUGCAGGAUGAAGGCGUUAUGCGUUGUAAACUGCUUUUAUACAGGAAGAAACGACUCUUGCGAGAGGCAUUGACGGUACUGUAUGAAUAAGCACCGG
rnacentral:rRNA from 1 species